rnacentral:sRNA from 1 species
GUCGUAUCGGUUCGAUCGGGAUACUCAUCAAAUUAAAUCGAAAACCGGGCUCACUUCUCUGGCCAAUGGCGGGCCACAUGCCGCAAGGCAGCUUUAUUGCCGGUGGAUUACAAAGGCAGAGGACACCCAAAUCUUAGCAAUAGGAGUUUUCAUCACAUCACCGGUACGACCCUUUU